CCUACGGGUGGCAGCAGUGAGGAAUAUUGGUCAAUGGACGAGAUUCUGAACCAGCCAAGUAGCGUGAAGGAUGACUGCCCUAUGGGUUGUAACCUUCUUUUAUAUAGGAAUAAAAUGAGGCAUGUCUGCUUUUUUGCAUGUACUUUAUGACUAAGGAUCGGCUAACUCCGUGCCAGCAGCCGCGGUAAUACGGAGGAUCCGAGCGUUAUCCGGAUUUAUUGGGUUUAAAGGGAGCGUAGAUGGGUUGUUAAGUCAGUUGUGAAAGUUUGCGGCUCAACCGUAAAAUUGCAAUUGAUACUGGCAGUCUUGAGUACAGUAGAGGUAGGCGGAAUUCGUGGUGUAGCGGUGAAAUGCUUAGAUAUCACGAAGAACCCCGAUUGCGAAGGCAGCUUACUAAACUGUAACUGACAUUGAUGCUCGAAAGUGUGGGUAUCAAACAGGAUUAGAUACCCGAGUAGUC
rnacentral:rRNA from 1 species